CCUGCAGCAUCUAAUGAGGAACUUUACUCCGAAGUCAGAUUAGAAAGCAGUCUCGAAGACAUUCCAACAUAUGCCGAGAUCAACCGUCACAAUAAAGCAAAAGCUAAGGAAAACCAGGAAGACAGUCCAACGUAUGCCCAGGUCAACCGUCACAAUAAAAGAGCAUCCAAGAACAACCAGCGUCAUUGAACCGAAUUGUAGCAGUAAAACCAACCUCAAGCUUCUUAUACAGAAAUGUCUGUAGCUUGUUCAGUAUUUUGUACAGUUUUUUUAGUGAUAGUCAUCAUCAUUAUAAUAUACAGUAUACAAUAUAUAUAAUAUAUGGUACAGACAAGGUGUUUUCAUUUAGUGUUCAUAUUAUCUGUAUUCAUUUAAUAAUAAAACAUGAUUUAAAGUUAGCUUUUGCAGUGUAACAUAAGAUAGGUUCCUCUAUGGGUACAAAGAAAUACUAUAAAUGCAUGUAUUGAAAGUUUUUGAACAUUACCUAAAAGAGGACUGAUAUAAUACUGUAUGGAUUUAAAUGUGUGA